ACAAAUCAUUUGUAUGGGAAACCAUACAUAUUUACCCCAAGCCUAGGAUGUGCUUCGGCGCAACACUGGGCUUUGGUUGGGCUGCGCUCAUUCGUGAGUGCGGCUCCGGCAUGUAUGCUUCGGUGUACUAGCCACAUAGACGCUUGUAUGUUUGACAGUUUUAGUUGCUUUAAAAAUGA
rnacentral:misc_RNA from 1 species